ACGGGAGGCAGCAGUAGGGAAUAUUGCACAAUGGGGGAAACCCUGAUGCAGCAACGCCACGUGUGGGAAGACGCAUUUCGGUGUGUAAACCACUGUCGUGAGGGAAUAAGGACGCUUCUCGGAGCGUUUGAAUGUACCUCGAAAGGAAGCACCGGCAAACUUCGUGCCAGCAGCCGCGGUAAUACGAGGGGUGCAAGCGUUGUUCGGAAUCACUGGGCGUAAAGGGAGCGCAGGCGGGGAUGCAAGCAGUCUGUACAAUACCGGGGCCCAACCCCGGACCUGCAGACUGGACUGUUUCCCUUGGAUAGUUCAGGGGCAAGCGGAAUUCCUGGUGUAGCGGUGGAAUGCGUAGAGAUCAGGAAGAACACCGAUGGCGAAGGCAGCUUGCUGGGGACUUAUCGACGCUCAUGCUCGAAAGUGCGGGUAGCAAACAGGAUUAGAUACCCUGGUA
rnacentral:rRNA from 1 species